rnacentral:rRNA from 1 species
CCGUCCGUCGCUCCUACCGAUUGAAUGGUCCGGUGAAGUGUUCAAAUCGUAGUGACUUAGGCGGUUCGCCAUCAGCGACGUCGCGAGAAGUCUACUAAACCUUAUCAUUUAGAGGAAGGAGAAGUUGUAACAAG